AGAGUUUGAUCCUGGCUCAGGAUGAACGCUGGCGGCGUGCUUAAUACAUGCAAGUCGAACGGAGACAGUAGCAAUAUUGUCUUAGUGGCGAACGGGUGAGUAACGCGUUGGUGACCUGCCUCGAAGAGAGGGAUAACAGUCCGAAAGGAUUGCUAAUACCCCAUGUGGUCAUUUGGAUUAGAUGCCUUUUGACUAAACGGAUUUAUUCACUUCGAGAGGGGCCUGCGUCCCAUCAGCUAGUUGGUAGGGUAAUGGCCUACCAAGGCGAUGACGGGUAGGGGACCUGAGAGGGUGGCCCCCCACAAUGGAACUGAAACACGGUCCAUACACCUACGGGUGGCAGCAGUAGGGAAUAUUGGUUAAUCUGCGAAAGCGGGAACCAGCAACGCCGCGUGCACGAUGACGGCCUUCGGGUUGUAAAGUGCUUUUUGAAAGGAUGAGGAAGGACAGUACUUUCAGAAUAAGCUUCGGCUAACUACGUGCCAGCAGCCGCGGUAA
rnacentral:rRNA from 1 species